CAGAGAUUUGCUCAGCAACACAUGUCAAGUAGCGGCGAGGCUCCCAAACCACGUGCUCUAAUUGGAAGACACAGCUCAAGCACUGCCUUGUGAGCAUCAGAAGAGAUGAUCCCUGUAGAGUGCUCAGCACAAGUUGUCAUAGGGACCAGGCUGAAUGAAUGCCUAUUACUGAG